AAAUCAAUAGGAGUUUCCUUGGUGGCCCAGUGGUUAACGAAUCCCACUAAGAACCAUGAGGUUGCUGGUUCAAUCCUUGGCCUUGCUCAGUGGGUUAACGAUCCGGCGUUGCUGUGAGCUGUGGUCUAGUUUGCAGAUGCAUCUGGGAUCCCGCGUUGCUGUGGCUCUGGCAUAGGCCGGAGGCUACAGCUCCGAUUCGACCCCUAGCCUGGGAACCUCCAUAUGCUGCUGGAGCAGUCCUAGAAAAAGGCAAAAAGACAGAAAAAGAAAAAAAAAGAAAUAAAUCAAUAGCUGAAAAAUCAGAUAGAAGCCACUGACCACUUAAUACCAGGAAAGAGGAAAAGACAGAAUUUAUUGAAAAUAAAGUGAUUCCCAGGUAUCUCAAGUUAAAUUAUAUAAUCUGGAUCAUUUUAAGGCUAUUUAGAAGUCCCCUCCCAUCCAGUUUAGAGCAAUUCAGUUGAGCUCUUUUAUUCUGAGCACUUUUCUUUGAGAACAAUGGAGAGUAAGUCUUGUCCAGAUCCCCAAAGUUCUCCUAGUCAUUCUUUUUAGACCAGUAUCACCAUGGGUGAGUUACUCAGUCUAACUGCUGUUGUUUUGCUGGGCAUCAAAUAAAACUUUAAAUGAGGGUAUAUAAUUUUGUACCACUGGUUUGAAGAAUCAUUGCUUCAAAAAAAACGUUGCUUACUGAUGGAUCAGUCAUCUUGGAUAAGAAAGGGUAGGGGUGCUAUUUCCUUGUGUGACCAUGUGGGUUAGAGAGGGGACUGCCUCGAAAAGUAGCUGACAAUGCCAGGUGUCUGAUAUAAUUGCAGUUAUCUAGUUUCUUCUCUGUUUUCUCACUGGUCUGUAAGCUCCCUGAGGGUAAUGACAGUCUCUUAUUCAUCCUGAAAUCUCCAGACAUCUAUUCAAUUUCAGAACAAAAGGAAUUUAAUGAAGAAAUAGUUGAUCAGUGAAUGAAUCUAUAGAUGAAUGAAUAAUCUAUUUAUGAAGAAAAAUAAAUGGGAAUAUCAGUAUUUCAAAGCAAGAUUAUUAUUUACAUUCUCUAAAAUCAUUAGUAGUAAUCUAGUUUGUAUAUAAUUCUACUCUACACUGAUGAAACAAGUCCUUUAAUUUUAUAUAAAUUAGUUUGGAUGACAAGAAAUAUUAACAUAUCAAAAGAAUUAUAUGUAUACAUUUAUAUAUAUAUAUGAAUUACUGAAUGUACAUGGAAAUGAAAAUCAAGGUGACUUUCAGUGUGGCCUAGGAUUAACCAAGGAAGACAGCCAUUGAAUCUUGACUCUGAUUUUAAUUGAAUGCUGGCCAUGAAUUGAUGGGGAGAUGUUGAGAGCCACCCAGGCAAAGAGAAAAAUCAUUAAAAAAUGAAGAAAAAUGAGAACAAUCAAGAGUUGGGGGAAAUGGUAAGAAUAUCAAUUUGAUGUAUACCAUGAAGACAAUACUAGGAAAUGAGGAAAUAUUAAUACAUACAUAUUUAUCUAUCUACCUACUUAUAGUCAAUAGACAAUUGGAAGAAAUUAGUUGUUCUUAAGCAAGAGAAUAACAAGAUGAAAAGGUCUUUUUUUUUUUUGACGGGUAUGCCAGGAAGAAUUGGAGACCAGAAGAAGAAAGUCCAGCCAGGAGGAUAUUAUGAUGAUAUGAAGGUGAAAUGAUUAGUGUUUAUAGAAGAAUGGCAAUUAUGGUAUAAGAUAGGAAAGAAGAGAUAUGAAAGACAGUAAAACCACAAAGCCUUGUGCAGGAUGCAUUCAUGGAACAAAGAAAAGAAAAAGUAAACUUGAGAUUGUGAGAAAGGGGAAAUUGAGAAUACAUGCAUCAUCAGUGAUAAUGGAGAAUUUAGGAAGGUAUGCUGGCUCUUCAUGGCUAAGUAUCUUCUCCCAGUUAUUUGGGGUUUUGAAGGAGAUAAUUUCUGACCUGUUAAGUUUUAGUGUCAUUAAAAUAGCUCCCUUUGGAAGCAGCUAGAAAUUUAGGACUAACAAGAAGUCAGGGCUAAUUUUUGCAUCUUUCUUCCUCUCAGCCUGAUAGUUUCUCUACCCCAGAGAUGAUUUUCUAUUUGUUUGCGUUUUAUUUAGUGGCUUUGGACCAAAUUGGAGACUGAUGUCUGCCUAUAUAGGAAGACUGUAUGAGCCUCUGAACCAAGGCAAGUCUUUCAUUUUCAUUUAUCCAAGUGAUAUGAACUUAGUACUUUCUCUGUGUUAGGACCAAAGCUGAGUGCUACAGACACAAUGAUGGAAAGAUGACCUCUUAGUGGUCAUUCAAACAGAUAAUUGUAAAAAAUAAAAUAAUUUCCAGUGAAACCCAGGUUACUUACUCAUCCUUGCUUGAGGGUAAAAUUCAAGGCAUAAAAUUCAUCAUGAAACUAUGUCUCUAGCUCUGUCCCUAACAUGCUCAGCAGAAAAUCCAGCCCUUUCAAAAGUCUUUAAAAUAGUUUAGGAUUCCUUAGAGGUGUCACAUGUUUUCCCUCAGAUACCACGUGGCAUGUCUUUUGCACAUUAGGGUGCAUGGAAAUUUUUGGAUCUAAACCUACUCAGUAUUGUGAGAAUAUAAAGUAUGAACUGAAGCCUAGUAGGAGAUGAGACUGGAGAAGCAGAAAUAGUCAGAUAUCCACAAUGGACCUCUCUGACUUCUGUAAGAUUUCCUCAUAGUUUGCCUUUAUGAAAUGGUGCCUAGUCUUCAUAGGAAUAUUCCACAAGGCUGCUGUUUGUUCAGAAGAACAAAGAAAAGCAAAAAGAUCUCUUUGUUCUGCAUACUUGGAAAUCUUUUGGUCUGAAUUGGGCUGGCUUCCUCUGAUGGAAUGCUGCCAUAAGCCUCCUUUGGACCAUCCAUCUCUCUGUUUCUCUUCCUUUUUUUUUUUGGUCCUAGAGCCUCUCACCAAUUUAAUCCCUGGCUCUUCAUGGCUAAGUAUCUUCUCCCAGUUAUUUGGGGCUUUCUCCUGAGAGGGUCUUUAGAGUGUCUAAUUAAAAACAAAAACAAACAAACAAACAAAACCCCUCUUAUUUGCUUUGUGGCCAAGGAAAGGGAUCUGUCCUCUAACGAAGAGGUGCCACUCUUCCACCUGCAGCAGUGCUGUGCUGGCUCUUUAUCUUUGGAUUUUCCCCAGUCUAGUUUUGGUUCAAACUGCAACUCAUAGAUGAGCUUCUUCCUCCUGUCCUCUCUUUAUAUAGUCAGCAAUGCCCUUUUGGAUUCUCUAGGAAUAUCCUAUACUAGUGCUUUUCAAGAUUUAAAUUAUGUAGAAAUUAUCUGUAAUUUAAAAUGCAGAUUCUAAUUUAGUAGGUCUGGGUUGGGACCUGAGAUUCUGAAUUUCUAACAGUAUCCCAGGUGAAACCGAUGCUGCUGGUUCAUGCAUCACACUCUAAGUAGCAAGGUUCUGAAGACUCUCUUCCUGGGGGUCUACUCUAGCUCAGGUCUAAGUAAGCCAUCUCAUCUAAAAAUGAGAUGGUGGCUACUACUGCGUCUGCCUAGCCCAGUUAUGCUUUCUUUCACCUGCAUUCCUAGAUCCCUGAGCUUUCAUCUUGGCCCUCAGGGGACUCAGAAUGCGUCCAAGUGGAAUCAACCUCAUAACUGGUCACCAAGAUAGCCUUGUAUAGGCCUUUCUACCGCUCAGCCCCAAGCUUUCCAAAGCAGCUCUCUGUGCUCUCCCACAUUUAUUUCUGUGGCUAUAGCCAUCUCUGGAGAUCUGUUUCCCCCUAGCUUGGCUCAGAGUGGGACACAGACUCCUUAGCUCCCCAGGCUCAUAGCCUCUCGAGACCCACAGGCCCUAGUGGUUUUAAGGAUGUUCCUUCUAAUUGUUUUGGCAAAACAUGUUUUGUUUGUUUGUUUGUUUGUUUUUGUUUUUGUUUUUUAAAUACAUUUAUGGUAAAAAUUAUAAACAUAAGGGAGCUUUAGAGAUUAAAGCUCUUAAAAUCCUCAUUUCUAUUUUGCAACAGCAGCUAUCUUCCUCUGUGAUGGAAGAAAUAGAUACCUAAAAUCCCUUCCACCUUUUAUCAAAGUCCUACUUUCCUCUGGAUGCCUCAUACCUGUUAUCUUUUGGUUUAUCCCUGCCUCUCUGGUUAUGUGACCUCCCUUCUUAGUUGCUCUCCAAUAUCUGACUCACCCUCUCAUGACCCUCUCACAUCUGUAUGUUCUGACUCUGACUUCCUACUUCUGGUCCCUUGCCUGCUCCAAUACGUCUGACUCAUCAUUUUGCUUCCUCCAAGGAGGUGAGGGGCCAGGAAACCCUGUUGGUUUGACAGCAAUAUUGUAGAUGUUUUAGAAUGCUGACCUUGCCAAUAUUCCUUGACUUUGUUCCCUUUGACUGCAGCUUCUGGGUCCCGACAAACAUGUUGGACCUCAGCUGUGUUAGCUCUCUGCUUUUGUCAAAUUCCUGGGUGUGCCAUUGAACUGAUUAUUUUCUACCACUUAAUUUGGACUCUUUGUUCCUAUCCCCAUUUUCCAGUUCUAAUCCACACCACUGCUGCCAAAGAACAAGUAUUUAGCAUAGAUCAAUUAGGACUAUCUUUCACAUGUAUACAAGAUUUACUGUUAACAAAUUGACUCUCCUUUACAUUUUAAGAGUAGGAAAAUCCAAAUUUUGUAUCAUAGAUUCAAAAUAAAAUCAGAGGGAAUAUUAAUUUCUUUAAGGUUGACCUACUAUUCUUCAACUGCUCCGGCCCCUUUGCACGUGCUGUUCCCUUCUAACAUUUCCCUGCACUGCUUCUCUUUACAUGGCCGGUUCCUUCACAACAUUUACAUCCUAGUUUAGACAGUACCUUCCAAAGACCCUGAUGUCCUAAGAAGUUUUCACUAUUUUGUUUCAUUAUGCUUGGAUACUUUAUUCUGUUUAUUGUCUUCUUAGCCUAAUCACAAGCUGUGCUUAUAUAUUUAUUCAUCUCAUUUAUUUAUUUUUUUGGUCUAUUCACUAGGCUAUAAAUUCUACAAAGACACAGGAAAGGUAUCUACUUAGUCAAAUAUUAAAUCAGCAGCAUGCUGAUUCUAUUAUAUAUUUAUUUAAAUCAGCAUGCUAUAUUGUAGGUGUUCGAUAAAUACUUAGAGAGUGGAUGCUUGAACUGGAACUAGCCUUUGUAGGAGAUAAAUAUGCCAGCAUUAACACAACCAAAAGAGUAUUUUAAGGCUUCUUGAUGAUGGUGGAGUUGAAUCAAGCUGAAUGGGAAGCCUGAGGAGUCAUGAGAAUUCUAUAAUUCCAGAAACCACAGAUAGGCUUCAAGGCUAAUCAGCAACCAAGCACAGUUUGCCCCUUCACCUAGUUUUUGCUGAAAUCCCUCCUGAGAUUAUCAAACAUGAUCAGUUGUUGGAUUAACAGACAAAAGAUUAAUGAGGCCUCCUGUUUCAAAUGAUUUGAAAAUAAGAUAUUCAUACUCUCUUAGUCUGUCUCUUGAAAGAUCAUUCUGUUUCCUCUGUCUUUAAAUUACUCACUGUAUAUGACUGGAAAGAUGAUUACUUGUUGAAUUUUAUUUUUCCUUCAGCAUAGUUAAAAAACAGAUGUGAGGUCUCUAGGUGAGUCAAGAGGUCAUCAGAGAGAAGUAACCUGGUAUGAUUAGGGAAUGGGACUAUGCAUGAUUUUAGAAAAGUUAUAUAUAUGGUUAGAGCUCCCUGAAAACGGCACCAAAGAAAAUUAAAAUAAUUUACUGUCAUGGUUGUGAGAAGGGCAAAUAGGAGCAUAAUGAAGAGUUUUAUACAACAUUCUCAGAAGGCACUGUUAAGCUUAGACUAUGCAACUUUAUUAAACCCAGGAGAAGCAAAUACGCUUCAUCUAAAAGAUUAAUACAUAUAUGAAUGCGUGUAAAUUUAACUAUAAGAGGGAAGGAAAAGGAAAAUCAUUCUAGGUGUGCACAGCAAAACCAAAUUCUUUCCCUUCAGUGUGAAACCAUUAUAACUCCAAAAGUGCUUGGUAGAACUGAAGCCAAAAAUGUGCAUAUGACUCAGCAAUUCCACUCCCGGGAUAUGCCCAAUAGAAAGGCAUACACACAUUC
rnacentral:lncRNA from 1 species